rnacentral:rRNA from 1 species
CGUGAGCAAUCUGCCUUGGAGUGGGGAAUAACGGUUGGAAACAGCCGCUAAUACCGCAUGAUACAGCUAUCCCGCAUGGGGUUGGCUGUCAAAGAUUUAUCGCUCUGAGAUGAGCUCGCGUCUGAUUAGCUUGUUGGCGGGGUAACGGCCCACCAAGGCGACGAUCAGUAGCCGGACUGAGAGGGCGACCGGCCACAUUGGGACUGAGACACGGCCCAGACUCCUACGGGAGGCAGCAG